rnacentral:rRNA from 1 species
AUUGAACGCUGGCGGAAUGCUUUACACAUGCAAGUCGAACGGCAGCACGGACUUCGGUCUGGUGGCGAGUGGCGAACGGGUGAGUAAUGUAUCGGAACGUGCCCAGUCGUGGGGGAUAACGUAGUGAAAAUUACGCUAAUACCGCAUACGAUCUAUGGAUGAAAGCGGGGGAUCGCAAGACCUCGCGCGAUUGGAGCGGCCGAUAUCAGAUUAGGUAGUUGGUGGGGUAAAGGCCCACCAAGCCAACGAUCUGUAGCUGGUCUGAGAGGACGACCAGGCACACUGGAACUGAGACACGGUCCAGACUCCUACGGGAGGCAGCAGUGGGGAAUUGUGGACAAUGGGCGAAAGCCUGAUCCAACCAUUCCGCGUGCAGGAUGAAGGCCCUCGGGUUGUAAACUGCUUUUGUACAGAACGAAAAGGUUUCUACUAAUACUAGGAGCUCAUGACGGUACUGUAAGAAUAAGCACCGGCUAACUACGUGCCAGCCGCCGCGGUAA